rnacentral:rRNA from 1 species
UGGGGAAUCUUGCACAAUGGGGGCAACCCUGAUGCAGCGACGCCGCGUGAGCGAUGAAGCCCUUCGGGGCGUAAAGCUCUUUCGACCGGAACGAUAAUGACGGUACCGGGAGAAGAGGCUGCGGCUAACUACGUGCCAGCAGCCGCGGUAAUACGUAGGCAGCAAGCGUUGUUCGGAGUUACUGGGCGUAAAGAGUGCGUAGGCGGUUUUCUAAGUUCGGUGUGAAAUCUCCCGGCUUAACUGGGAGGGUGCGCCGAAGACUGGGAAGCUGGAGUGUGGGAAAGGCAGGCGGAAUUCCUGGUGUAGCGGUGAAAUGCGUAGAUAUCAGGAGGAGCACCGGCGGUGUAGACGGCUUGCUAGACCAUAACUGACGCUGAGGCACGAAAGCGUGGGUAGCAAACA